rnacentral:rRNA from 1 species
UACGUAGGUGGCGAGCGUUGUCCGGAUUUACUGGGCGUAAAGAGCGCGCAGGCGGUCGUUCAAGUCGCGUGUGAAAGCCCCCGGCUCAACUGGGGAGGGUCACGCGAUACUGAUCGACUCGAAGGCAGGAGAGGGUAGUGGAAUUCCCGGUGUAGUGGUGAAAUGCGUAGAUAUCUGGAGGAACACCGGUGGCGAAGGCGGCAUCCUGGACCGGUAUUGACGCUGAGGCGCGAAAGCCAGGGGAGCAAACGGG